AUCGUUUCUCCGCCUUUUGGCUAAGAUCAAGUGUAGUAUCUGUUCUUAUAGGAAGUUCAGGAGGGACCCUUUUGGGGCUUCUUCUUUCUCCUACAGAUAUGCACUGAGCAGGGGGUUCCUGAGCCCAGCCUCACUGAUCUGCAUAGGCUGUAAUCCCACAGGUGGAGGUUGGUCCUGCCUGCCUGUA